rnacentral:rRNA from 1 species
UACGUAGGGUGCGAGCGUUGUCCGGAAUUAUUGGGCGUAAAGGGCUCGUAGGCGGUUUGUCACGUCGGGAGUGAAAACUCGGGGCUCAACCCCGAGCCUGCUUCCGAUACGGGCAGACUAGAGGUAUGCAGGGGAGAAUGGAAUUCCUGGUGUAGCGGUGAAAUGCGCAGAUAUCAGGAGGAACACCGGUGGCGAAGGCGGUUCUCUGGGCAUUACCUGACGCUGAGGAGCGAAAAGUGUGGGGAGCGAACAGG